AUGUGGGAGUCUUCAGGAAGCCAGCAGCCACUUGAAGCUACAGGGACAACCACACAAUGAGAUAGUUCCCCAGAGAUGUGGUCUGAAGAGAGGCAGGUUAUCCACCGUCAGCCCUUAUCUCUCAUGGAUAGUUUCCUCUCUCGGUUAAACUACUGAGGCUGUGGCUGACCCGGCUGUCUUUUUAGACCACUUCAUCUGAGGUCAGGCAACCGUCACUGUGUAAUCAAUGAUAGCCACCGCUCUGAAUUAGAUCGUGGAUGUCCCGGUGCUCACCAGCCUAUCAGUCCCUGUAACGAAGCCUGGAAGUGUCCGUGGCUGAAGGGCCCCUCGCCGGCUCCUGUUAGAUCCAGCAGCUGGUUGUUGGACAUGUGCGAAGCGCCCAUGUUGGCCGCAGGAGACACGCUGUGAUAACCGCAGCCGUACACGCUGCUGUUGGCAAACACUGGGUUAUAAUGUCCCACGGUCACAUUGUAGGGGGACGGGUGCGAGCCGGCGCCGCAG